UCUUCCUUGCCUGCCUACACAGAUAUCUAGGGUCCAAAGGUCUGGGAUGAAAGUUUUAGCGACCUCUUGGCAGGAGCGCCCGGGGGGGGGGGGGGGGGAUGGUAAUAAUAUUUAUGACAGCUGAGUCUACCUAGAAAGAGCAGCAGACUCAGAGGGGAGCAAUACUGCAAGUGGACUGAUAACCCGGUGUUAUGAGUCUGGGUAUUUUGCUGAACUAGAGGAGAAGGCUGUCUGCAGUGAGGGACCGAUACAUCGUUGUUUGGAUGUGUGGCUGUGGGGCAGGGCUGGGAUGCUGUCCGGAGCUGGACUCUGAUCAGAUUUCCUCCAAAGUCACCAUCCAUCUCCGCGCUGAACAGAGUGGCUGCCUGCUUGCACUCACCUCUCCCAUCAUCUCCAUUUCAAAUCAGCUCCCUUGGCUCACUCAAGCAAGCAUCUGUUUGAAGGUAGCAGCCCAGCUUUCCCUCAUCUAGAAAAGGACUCCUGAAAACCGACAGGACUGAGCAGGGAAAAUGGUCUUCCUCCAUUGUCCAUCCCUGCCUUCUUACUAUGACUUUACUGAGCAUCUGGCAUCCAUCACCCAGUCCCUGAUCUUCCAACAAGAACUCAACGGUCACAGAUUGUUCUGCGAUUUCUACACUGACUGCAAAUAUUUCUCCAUCAGAAUUCUGCAUCUUAAGGUGUUGGUACUCAGAGAGGACCACUGGCUGGAGGCUGAUGGGAGCAGGAAGGAAGGCAGGGCAGUAUCAGCCCAAGGAGCCGAGUAAGGCAGAGCACAAGGCUACUACAGAAGCUCUGUGCUAUGUCUGCCUUUCCAGGAGCAGGGUCCUG